UAAGUACUCCUUCCGUUCGAAAAUACUUGUUAAAGAAAUGCAUAAAAAUGGAUAUAUCUAGAAUUAAAAUAUGUUUAGAUAUAUAUAUUCCUUCGACAAGUAUUUUUGGACAGAAGGAGUAUGCA
rfam:Triticum aestivum genome assembly, contig: Triticum_aestivum_CS42_TGACv1_scaffold_342968_4DL